rnacentral:lncRNA from 1 species
CUGAGGAAAGGUCAAGCCGAAGUCGCUUUCUCGCUGAUCAAACCCCCAAGUAACAAGGCACGGGAUGGAACUGAUAUUACACUCCCAGGCCUGUUUCAUCUAGACAUAUAGGAGUGAAGGAACCUGCCAGGACAACAAUUCCCAUUCAAUACAAUUCCAACCACCACAGUUUAUAACUGCUGUCCUGCAUCUACUCAAUUCCAGGUUGCAACACAGGAAGAAAACCUGAACCUGAACAAAACCCCAGUCCCAUGCUAGAAACAUGUAGAAAACCUCGUUUUCUCAAAUGGCCACAGAACAGAAAGACUUUGCUGACGUUCCUCCAGCCCAGAAGAAAGAAGGUGCCACAAUUAAUGAAAGUCACAAGACAGAAAACCACCGUGUCGUUGGAAUGGAAGUAAAGGAUUUCUCUGCAGUUCCAUCCUCAGCAGCAAAAAAAAAAAAACUGUUGUGACAAGACGAAGUGCAAAU